rnacentral:ncRNA from 18 species
CGCCCGGUAGAGUGUGCGAGUCGUCAUCAUGCCCGUUCAGGGGGAAGCCGGUGCAAAUCCGGCACUGACCACGCAGCCGUGAACCGUCGUGGGAGACGGUGAGUCGGAAUGCCCUGUCCGCGGUCGUGACCGGCUC